UUUGGACUGAAGGGAGCUCUA
rnacentral:miRNA from 2 species